UCUUAGGAGGUAUGUUUGUGUAUGUGUGGGCCCGUGGCUGGGGGUGCGAGUGACGGUACGUGUGAUCUGUGUGCGCCUGGGUGUCUGUGUUUGUGUGUCUGUGUGUACACACACUCAAUCACUGCUUCCUGGCUUUUUAUUUAAAAAUCGAUUCAAACAAUCAAUACAUUCACACGCGCACAGGCAGGCGCUGGGUGGGUUGGGGGCGCAGCGGGAAUACUUCUGCUUGUGAGUCCUUCCUGCCCAGCCCAUCUCUCGCACUCUGGCUAUUUGUUUGCAAAAAAGCGUUUUCCUUUGAGGCGACGAAAUUAAAAUCCCCCCUUCGCGCCCGCCUCUCGCCCUUCUGGCGGGAGACACCCAAACAAUCCCCACGGCGCCGAAACCCUUUCGAUGCCAAGCCCUCCCUGAGCGGACGAGUAGAUUCUCGUGUCCCUUUCCUGGGAUGGACACCCCUCCACCCUGCCGAGCGCAGCUCCCACCACAUGCCUGCCCCACCCCAGGCCCCGGACCCCCAGAGCCCGGGUUCCUGCUCAACUUGGGAAGGCACCGGGAAAUAGCAUUCUGCGCGCUGGAGAGAACUUUUCCGGGGGCUAAGGAAUUGGACAGGAGGAGGCUCGAGAAAAGUUCUGGGAAGGCGGCUGCACCCAGGAUGGAUGGAUGCCACGGGGCCUCGGUCCAGGCAGUCCCAUCUGGAUGGAGGGGACGGGUCACCUUGGAAUCCUCUUUGCAGGUGAUGGCGUCCCCCCUCCCCCGGGACCCGCGGUUGUGGUGGGCAAGCGCAGGCCUCUCCGCAGCUGGGUGCAGCGCCGGGCGCGCCUGAGCCUGGUCGCUGGGGCGCGGUACCGCCCCCAGCCGUGCGCCUCCGGAGGCUGCGGCGGCGCUGCCCACCCCGGAGAGCCCUGGGUCCGGGGCUCCAGCGAAGCAAGUGUCUUCCCCGCGCCAGUCGCCAGGGGGGCGCGGGAGCAGCCUCCAGAUGUGCCGCGGCGCUGAGAACGCAAGGACAGGGGCUGGGGAGUGAGGGGCGCUCCGCAGGCGGCCGCAGCGCGGGAGAAGGGGCGGCCCAGGGCGCCCCAGCUGCCUGGGGCGCAGGGAGCUGUCGGCUCAGCCCUGGCGCCCGCCUCGCCCGCCACGGAGGGUGGCACAGCGGAGCCCUGCCGAGGCAGGCAGCGCGGGAGGCUGCCGGCUUGUCGGCCACUGCCUUCCGGACGCCGGGGAAGCCGCCCCCCGCGCCACCGUCGCCACCGCCUCCGCCGCACCGCCGCAGAGGGGUGGGGAAAUGAACUCACCGAGCUCUGGUCGCCGACAAGAGGAGCCCAGACGCCGGCUCGUGCCCGCCCAGAGGCUGCAAAGUUGUGGGCUCGGCCCUGCUGGCCCUCAGCCUUCUCACGCUUCGCUUCGGGGACUGGGCAGGCUAUGACCAGUAAUCCUUCUCUCAGCUUGGGCUGAAGGGAACUUGGGGUGUUGAUAGGCAGCUUACCAGGGCAACACCCAAGAAGUCAGUGUCAUCUCCUCAGGAGGGCUGUGUACCAAGAGAUUGCAAGGGGACCCCCUGGCCUGUCCGCCUGGGUUUGAAUAUCCACCAUUCACCGCUGUGUGCUCCUAGAUUCCAGGAUCCUCAUCUGGAGAAUGGAGAUGUGAGGAUUAAACGGCAAUAGAUGUGAAAGCCCCUAAACAGAGCCUGUCUAGGGGAAGCACUGUGUCUUGGACCACAGUCAUGGAUAGUACUUCUCUGGAUUUCCUGUGUACCAGGCACAUAAGCUUUUAGCAUAAGAGCCCUUCAUCCGUCCUCUCAGUAUGAUUGGAGCAGCUGCAUGAGCCCCAUUCUGGGAUGAGAAGGUUGGGAUUCAGGAGCUAAGUCACUGCUCAAGGUCACACAGUAGGUGAGUGAACAGAUUCUGGAUUUGAACCCAGUUUUAGCACUAGUGCUGCUGCUCUCAGCCUCAACACAAUCCAGCAUCACCUUGGGACCCAGCAGCAGCUUUGAUUUGGGGAACAACAAGGGGGUUUAUCCCACACAGAGCUCGAACCUGGAGCUGCUGCUUGGAGCCCCAGCCCCAACUCCCUGCUCUUUACCACCUUCCCCUUCUGGGACUCCAGUGUUUCUCAGAUGGGUACUGUGUGGCAUCAAGAGGGUAGUGACACAUGUGUGCCAAAUGGGGGCGCGGUCAUAGAGAACACCUUAGAACACUGGAUGACGCAGGGACGUUGGUGCCUGUGCUUGGACCAUGAUGGCUCACUUGGGUGCCCAGCUCCACUCCUCUGCACGCAGGCCAACCUGAUACAUGUUGAUUGCUUUCUCAACUCGUUGAUUAAAAUAAGAGCAAUCCCUUGAAGUGAGGGCCAUAUGCCGAUCGGCUCAUGCUCUAUUUUUGAAUCAUCAGACACUGUUUUCUCUGGAUUGUAUCAGCACACAUAAAAAUAAAAAGGGGGCCAGGAAACCUUUUCGUGUUCCGAAAGGCUCUUGCAGGCCAGUGGAAGAACAGCGUCCCAGGUGGUGGCCUCUGAGAAUGGCCUCUGAGAAUCCAGAAGCUCUGUGAGUUCCAGUGGCCACAGGACAGACACAAGGAGGCACAAGUGGCCCUUUUCCCUUCAGAGCAGCUUUGUGUGACAGGCGUGGCUGUCUGGCCCCUUUCACAAGUGCUGCCUGCGUCUCGCACUGGCUUGGGAGGCAGAGGCACCUGGAGCGCUUGGUUUGGGCCAUACUGAUUGAAGAUCUCCAUUCCCUAAAUACCUUGAGAGUCGGGUGGUAUUUCUAAUUUUAUUUUGCAUAUGGGUGUGUGGUGGGAAGGUGUGUGUCUGAAUUUGUGUGUGUGAGGGGAAGACAGAGAGAGAGGAGCUCAGCGAACGUGGGAAGAUGUCAGUGGGGGAAGGGAACAUUCCGGAGGGAGAAGAUCCAGUCGUGCGAAUACAAACGGACGAGGAUGAUUAUUUAUUUAGAAAUAUCGUUAUCAUCAGAAAAGGACAUUCAAGCUGCAGCUCUAUAGCCCAUGGUCCCUCAGCCCCCGUUAAAGGAAGGAGCCAAAUGUUUUUCUAAAAUGAGUGCUUAUCUCGGACCCAAUCAAUAAGGAGGCCAUCUGAAACUUCAUUUUGAUUCUGGCUCCAACAGAAUUAAGCAGCUGAAGAAGGAGCAUUUUAUGGCCAUGUGAACCUGAGCAAGUCAUUUAACCCCUCUGCUGUCUGUAUUCUCACCCAUAAAAAUGGGCUUAAUGGUGUUGCAUGGUGGAGAUGGUGAUGAAAUGGAAUAAUGUCGUUUAUGUGCCCUGGGCUCAGUGGAAGAUUGGAUAGCGAUUGCGUCUCCCAUCUCCCGUCUCUCUUCUGGGCUCUUUAUCCACAGGGCUGACUUCUCUUUCCAACUCAGAUGAAACCUCUGGCCUCUAUUGGAAAUAUUUUGGAGUCUCCUCUGGUUUGCCCAGGGUUGACCUGAGUAAAAGCGUACCGACGGGUGAAUCAGUACUGGUCUCUCUGCUGGGAAAAGCUGUACCCUGAGGUCUUUGAAAUGUCCCACGAGGCCUUAUUUGCUAUUGAUCUUGCAUCCUGCCACCCCCCACCCUAACUACAGCCUCAUUCUCCAUUUACAGUGUCACAAGGUAAUUUAUGAAGCAUGUUCUCACCCCCCUCCUCGUAUGUUCUCAUAGUUCAGCUGUGACUGAACCUGCAGAUGGUCCCAAGAGGGCAGGGACACAGAUCAGCAUCUGAUUGCUGCUGAGCGUUUUUCCUGGGGAUAUGUGCCUUGCAUUUUUCUAUUUCAUGGUGUUGUCUGAAUAAAACGAAUUCCCUUCCAAGUGGCGACUCCGUUUUGCCACAAAAUGUUGUAUACAAAGAAAGAAACUCCGUGAGCCAGCCAGCUUCUCCCACAGGUGAGGGGCCAACCCCGUGUCUGUCAGGCCCCAUGGUUCCCUAGAUGUUUGGGAGAGGGCUGCAGGGCUUGGGUUCAUCCUUAUGCUCUUAUUUCAGAUAGAGGUGAAUGAUAGAAUUGGUCUCAGGUUAACGGGUGCUCUGAAAUUAAGAGGGUACUAGACAUCCUCAGACAGGAUGCUCUUUGUGACUAAGAGCAAAUCAUGGCCAGGGGCAACCACAAAGUGCUCCCCCAAGUCUCUGAAGGCUUAAUAAGGCGCCAUCCCUGCCUGCCUGGAUUUGGAAAACACAUAAGGGCAGUUCAUCAUCUUAGCCCUCCGAAGACAUGGAAAUUGGAUUAUCACAGAAUUUCUAUUUGGAGGUGGUAAUUUACUUUGCCAACUAUGUCUUCAUUUGAACGAUAAUUACAUUACUUUGCAGGUUACAAAGUAUCUUCACAAAAUUAAAAAUUCCAUUCCAUCAGUCUCUCAACAGGUCUGUAGCUGGCUGGGGUUCAAAAAUAUUAAACCCAUUUUUUCUUAUGAGAAAACUGAGGUUGGGAGAUUUGUCACAUGUCAAUUUGAAAGCCUUGCCUAUGUUCGAUUUAAGAUGCAAUUCAAUAUGCAAAGAGCUCAUGGAUAUUUAGCCUUUCUGAACGUGACCUCUGCAUAAAGGAAGCAGGCCUGUAAUGUUCCCCUAGAAGAAAAGACCUGCUGAUCUCUCUUUAUCUAAGAUAAACUGCUCUGCUCUUCA